rnacentral:lncRNA from 1 species
UCUUUUAAGUCUCAAUGGCUUCGAUGACAUCUCCAUUAACCAAAUCCAAACCUUGCCUUUUUCUGCCUUUUACCCAUGCUAAGAAACUGGGUUCGCCACCUGCUAUACUCCUAAAUUAUGGUCACUAUAACCCCAAGUUCCUACCACUAACAACCAACAAAUGCAAAAAAGAAAAAUUAUCAAGUCUUUUUGAUGCUUCAAAUAAGAAUUAUAGCAGUACAAAAAAAGCACUACAAGUAGUGGCUGAUGCUGAUAAUGCACCUCUAUCAGAAGCCGAACCUAGGAACCUCGGGAAAAUCUUUCUGUCAGAUGUGGUGGUGAGGAGAAGGACAAGGCAGGUAUUUUGGGGCAGGAAAUGGAAUUCAUCAGAUAUAGUCAAUGCUGGUGUACUUUCGUCAGUGCAUUUUCUAUCUUUCUUUGCACCUUUUUAUUUCACUUGGCCUGCAUUUUGGGUUGCCAUUGGCCUCGGUAGUGUCACUGGACUUCUAGGUAUCACUCUUUCUUUCCAUAGGAAUCUUUCUCAUAGGAGUUUCAAGCUUCCAAAAUGGCUCGAGUAUUUUUUUGCAUACUUAGGGGUUCAAGCUCUUCAAGUAAGCGUACCCUCCCCUUUUUCUUUCCUUGAUUUUUUGUGUUUUCAGUUUUUAAUGGCUUCAUGUUGGUUUCAGAGGGAUCCUAUUUUUUGGGUUAGCACUCAUAGACACCACCACCAGUUUUGUGAUCCGAGAGAGACCCACACAGCCCCACUGAAGGGUUUUGGUUUAGUCACAUCAAUUGGCUCUUUGACAAUAAUUAUAUUACUGAAAAGGUCUGUACGUUCAUCCUCCACACACGCACACAGAUGAACAAAUUCCCAAGUGUAAAUUAAAUUGUGUUAUUGCUGCUUAUUCUGUUAAAAAUAUAUGAUUUGGUAGUGUGGAGGGCCAGACAAUGUCGGGGAUUUAGAGAAGCAACCCUUUUACAAGUUCAUGCAAAACACGUACUUUCUACAUCCAAUUGCGCUUGGAGUUCUGCUAUAUGCAGUGGGAGGAUUUCCCUUCCUUGUAUGGGGAAUGGUAUGGAAUACUUCUCAUGUCCUCCUCUCUCUUUUUUUCAUGAAAAUAUGCAGAGAUAGCCAAAAUUAGUAUUUGUCUUUUUUAUACUGCAACUUAAUUUCAUCAAACGCAACCUCUUGGAACAUGAAUUUCUCAAGUUAAUUGGAAUAAAAUGAAAGGGCCAUAUUGUCUGCUAUUAUACUCGGGAUUUACUCAUUCAUAUUUGAUCGGUGACCAGACAUUGAAACGGACUUGAAAAUUUAAACACCCAUCACCCUCCUCAGGCCUCAGUACGUAGUCAAUAUUUGGGUUAAUUUUUGUAUAGCUUAUGCAGGAAAACUAAUAUACUGCUGACCAUUUCAGGGUGUGAGAAACGUCUUAGUUUUACACAUCACUUGGCUAGUAAACUCAGCUUCUCAUUUAUGGGGAAAGCAAGCGUGGAACACCGGCGACUUGUCUAGGAACAAUUGGUAAUACCUUUUGCUCUUAGCUUUUAUCAUUCUGAUGUGGUUAUUUCUAAUAAUUUUGUUCUGCAAACUUGUUUAAGGUGGCUUGCAUUGCUUACAUUUGGAGAAGGUUGGCAUAAUAAUCACCAUGCUUUUGAAUACUCAGCCAGGCAUGGUCUGGAAUGGUGGCAGAUUGACAUGACUUGGUAUGUUAUAAGGUUUCUUCAAGCUAUUGGAUUGGCAACAGAUGUGAAGCUGCCAUCGGAAGUUCAAAAGCAAAGGAUGGCUUUCAACAAUUGAAGUUUGUGUGUGUGUGAUGUCAUUAAUGAAAUUAUGUGGAGUUAUGAGAAGCUUUUCUUUUUAAGAAUAUAAUAUAAUUCUACUAUUAUAUUAGGGGUCCACAUGAAAAACCAUAAUUCAAUUUUUAACCAAACAUUGAUAAGAGGAAGUUUGGGAGAAAUCAUACAAUUCACCGCACUCUCAAACACCCUCUUAAAGCUGUUUUUGUAUUUUAAAAAUAUUUUUGAAAAAAUUAAAAUUUAUUUUUAUUUUUUUAAAAUUGAUUUUAUUUUUAUUUUUACAUUGUUUUAAUGUGUUAAUAUUAAAAAUGAAUUUUAAAAAAUAAAAAAAAUAUUAUUUCAUUAAAUUUUUAAAUAAAAAAUACUUUAAAAAAUAACCAUUAUCGCAACACUAAAAAAGCUCUUAAUUUCGCUUUAAGUUUCGUCUUAUAUGGAUUUUUAAUGCAAAAGAUCACCAAUAAUGUUCAUGGUGGGUCGCACCUGUUACCUUAAAGGCAAGUAAACCACAUGCAGCCUUUGGGUGACAUGUGUGGCCCACUAUGGUCACCGUUAUUAGCUUUUCUUUUAUGUGGUUGGAUUCAUCUUAUUGAUAUCUUUUUGAUGAUAUUGAUUGUAUCGUAAUUAGAGCUUUGGUACACCUUUGAGCAUCUUUUUUUUUUCUCCCGCCACUUCUCACAUCAGAAUUUGUGCCAACCCUUUUAAUUUCUUGGAAUAUGACAUGUUUUCCAUUAGUGACAUGUUAAAUUGUCACAUUUUUCAAUCGCGACAUGUAUCAGAUUAUGUUAUUUUACCAAAAAAAUUUUAAAUUAUGUUAUUUUAUCAAUUUUUUUAAAACAAUGCCAAUUUAAAUAAACCUUAUAAGACUCCAUACGAGUCGUGAUUUGAUCUAAGACUUAGAUCAUGAGUUUGUUGGUCAAGACGAAUUUGGUAGUUUACUCGGGUUUUUAGAUAAAUUCAAAAUAAUAUCAUUUUGAGAUAUUUUUUUAAUUGAAAUGAUGGUCUAUUUUUUUUUCUUUUUGAAAAGAGUUAGAUUAUAAUUUCUUUAGGUUUUAAUUGAGUUGAGUAAGCCAUGAAUGAAUUUAUUUAAUUAGAUCAAUUUCUAAACCUAUUCAACAUAACACUCAAUAAGAGCUAUAUCUCAAGUAGCGUAUAACAGGAUUAUUCUAAAAAGCCCGACCAAGUUUUAUAAUAACAAUUUAAAAAGUAUUUCAUAUUUAUUAAUAGUUGGUAAUAAUUUUCUUUUUUAUGAGCUAUUAUCCGGUACAUAUGUUUGCUUCCACGAUCCAUGAGACUGACGACGUGGCACUAUAGGGAAUGCUUAUAGAGUUGACUAUUUUAUUGGUGGAUUUCGGGUGAUGGUGGUUACGUGGUGUAGGGUGAUGGGGCUAGUAAGAAAGUAGAUUAGUGGUUUUAAUAUUGGUUGGGUUGAUAAAUGGGAAGAGGAAGGUUCAGGGGUUUUUAAGAAUAUGGUAAAAAUUGUUUUAUAAAGUGUUUUUUUUAAUAUAUUAUUUUUCUAAGAAAAAUAAUAUAUUUAAUAUCAAUAUAUUAAAACAAUUCAAAAAUAUAAUAAAAAUGUAGUUUAAAAAAAUUCAAAAUUUGGCUAAACUAUAAUUACACUUUUGUGCUGAAUAGUUCCUUAAUAAAAGAGAAAGUUACUAUUUUUAAGAUGGUGGGGAUCUGAAAGAAUUAGGGUUUUGCUAAAGCUUGAUUCUGUUCAAGAUUCUCCAAGCUUUUUUUUUUUCUUAUUAUUAUUUUUUGUUGGAAGGAGAGCUAUGAAAUAUAAUGACUUUGGCAAUGCAUGAUGGUAAAGAUUUUAUGAUAUGUUUAUAUGAUUUUACAUGUAUUAUGAUAUGCCUAGCACGUCUAGAGAAUACUAGAUGUGCUCGUGUUACACUGUAAGUCUAUAUUAUUUUUUUAUAAAAUGUUUAGGUGCUAAAAGGCAUUUUAAAAAAAGAAAAAAAAAUUCAAUAACCUGAAUUAUAGUCUGACCAAUCAAAUAAGUUAGUUGUAUUUGAAUAAUAAAAAAAAAGACAAGGAUUGUAAAAAGACUGAAAAAACCAACCACUAGGGAAAAAAAUCUUUAUCCAAGAACAAAAAUAAUAUUGUUUAAUUUUCAGCCAAUUAAAUAUGGAAGGAUGAAAAUUGAUAAUGAAAGGGAAAAAACGGUGUGAGUCAACUUGGGCUAACAUGAUAGACAUAUAAUUUGGGGAUUAAAGGGUGAGGUAGUCCGGGCUAAUCCGCCAAUCCUGUGUUCUAAAUCAUAAGGUCAGAAUAACCUGAUAGAAAAGAAAUUGAAAAAAAACCACAAAGCUAAUUUUUUAAAAAAUAUAACAAUGUCAAAUGAAAAUAUAAAAAGAAAAUGAGACAAAAAAAAGGAUGUGACUUCUAUUAACUUUUCAAACCCGUGACUAGGAUCAUCAGAUUGUAAAUACCAUGCAUGAAAAAGCCAUAAAGCCCAAUCCCCAAGAAAAAAAAACUAAUGAAGGAUAAAAUAAAAUAAAAUCACAUAAAAAGGUUAAAAUAGCAAUUAAAAAAAUAAAAGUUAAAAUAAAAAUAAAAAAUAUAUCAGAGGACAACAAUAAAUUCUUGAUUUAAGGGUUAAAUUAAAAAAAAAUAGUAACACUAACAAAAGGAUAAAAUAAAAUCAAAAGAAUCAUAAGCAAAUUGUAAAAUUUAAUAUACUAUAAAUUUGGAUUAAAGGAUGAAAUUGAAAACCAAUAAAACUUCUAUAAAAGGACCAAGGAAAAAAAUAAUAAAUUAAAAGAAUAAUGAUCAAAAUAAAAAAAAUAAUAUAUGGUAAAAAAAAAGUGAAAAAAAAGAGAUAUUGACCUGCAUUAAUUUUCUAAACUUGUAUUAUAGCUAAUGAGAUUAGGAUAACUUGAUUGAUCUAAAACCUAGAUUGGGCAGAGUUUCAAUAAAAAUAGAUGAAAAAUUGAUCCAAUAUGAUCCAAACAAGAUGCAAGUAAAAGAAGUCAUGAAAGAUCAUAUGUAACAACCCUCUAAUUUUCAUUUAUUUUCAAAACAUGUCAUUGAUUAAAACAAUUCAUCACUAUUUUCUAGGAUAUAGCAUAACAUUUUAAAAUCAUAAUGUCAUUAAUUAGAUUCAUAUUUGCUAUUAUCAACCUUACUAAGAAUCUAACCUUACUAGAAAUUUUAAUAUUCACCAUCAAGGGCAAUCAUUCUUGGAAUUUCUAUUAUCCACCCGGCAAUUUGUUUCUUAAAACAUUCCAUUAUCCCGCACUAAAGACAACUAUUUUUCUUGAAAUUUCAUUACCUUGCUCUGGAGGUGAUUUAUCCUUGGAAUUUCAUUAUCCCAUUCUAGAAACAAUUUAUUUUUGGAAUUCUAUUUUCCCGUCCUGAAAUUAAAUUUUUUUUCUUUAAUAUCAACUUUUCUUGCUUGAUACCAUUAAUUUCACAUAUAAAAGAGUAACAUUUUUAAUAUGUAAAGAAUUUCUGAAAUUUCAAAAAAGUAACGACGAAUCCUUACUUGGAGCUUUUGUAAUAUGUUCUUGAGAGAACUAGCUUUACUCUAGAUAAACCCCUUACAAACCCAAACAUCAACAAAUCAACAACAAUCAUGUCAUUAAUAUAUAUACACUCUUCAUACUUAUUAUUAACAUUUUAUUUUUAUUUUUCAUGUUCAUACUUACAAACCCAAACAUCAACAAAUCAACAACAAUCAUGUCAUUAAUAUAUAUACACUCUUCAUACUUAUAAUUAACAUUUUAUUUAUAUUUUUCAUGUUCAUAUUUACCCCCAAAGUAUUUAUCUACACCAUUUCCUCUUUCAACACAACUAUGGCAUCACUAAUUUAACUCAACAUAGUAAGUUUUGAUCACUAUAAUUUAGCCAUUAUAACACAAUUCUUAAUAAUUUAUAUAACACAAUUCUUAAUAAUUUGUAUAACACAAUCACCCACACCAAUCUUUCUUACUAACAUCAUUAAAACAACAAUGUAAUCAUAAGUUAGUUAAUUUCCAAUCCUCCUAUUUUCCUAAUCCAUGGCCGGCCUUCUCAUAUAAAGAAAACCACAUUCUAAUUUGAAAAUUUAUUCCAUUUCCUCCUUGACCACAUCAUCUAACCCAAAAUCAACCCAUCAAAAUGAAGCACAUUUCACUCUUUCCCACUUAAAAAUAGUCCAUCAUAACAAAUAAAAUAUUAUGUAUUUGGUAAUGUGGUGAAUGAUACUUUUCAAUAUAAAAUACAUCAAAUUAAAUGUUUUUUUUUAAUAUUAGCGCAUAAAAACCAUAAAUAAUAAUGAAAAAUUUAUCAAUUUAAUAUUUUUUCAAAUAAAAAAUAGUUUGAAAAACAUUUUAUAAACCAAGUUGAUCAACAUUUCUUUAACACACCUUUGUAGUUGAAAGAGACUCGCCAAGAGUGUUCGAUAUGGAUGGAAUAGCAUUAUUACUAGUAAUAAUAAUCUUUUUUUUUUUAAUGACGAAUAAUUAAGAUUCACGGCUUCCAAUUUUCAAGUGCAGAUCAGAUGAAGCUAGCUCAUGAGUUUUUGCCCAGUUGCUGGGGCACAAAGAUGAAAGAAGGGGAUUCUUGCAUAGUCAUGUAAGAUGAUUUAAACUUGAAUCACGAUCUCAUAAGUUUUUGCCCUACCUCUCAAUUAAUGAGCCCCACCCUUAUAAUUAUACUUUGUUUUGGUGAGCCUAGUUGAGUUUUAAAGAUUGACGCAUCUAUAUAUAUAUAUAUAUAUAGAUGUUGCCCUCUUUCUUUCCUUCUCUUGGUAGAUAAAAGCAGAAUCACAUGCAAAUGGCAGCAAGAUAAUAGGUGAUUUGAAUGUGAUUAUGAUAUUGCUAGCACGUCUAGAGAAUACUAGAUAUCUUUCCUAUUAUCUUGCGUCAAUCAAAACAAAGAGAAGGAAAGAAAGAGGGCAACAUCUAUAUAUAUAUAGGUGCGUCAAUCUUUAAAACUCAAUUAGGCUCACCAAAACAAAGUAUAAUUUUAAGGGUGGGGCUCAUUAAUUGAGAGGUAGGGCAAAAACUUACGAGAUCGUGAUUUUUAAAUCAUCUUACAUGACUAUGCAAGAAACCCCUUCUUUAAUCAUAUUUUUUUAAAAAAUAUUAAAAUAAAUUUUUUUAAAGCAAAACGUUAGUUUGAAAAAAGAAUUAAUAACCUUUUAAAAAAAAUAAUAACCAGCCACUUACUCUUCCACAUACCCAUCUCUAUAUAAACCCCCGCACAAUAAUCAAUUCUAUCAAAAUACAUCCUCUUUUAAGUCUCAAUGGCUUCGAUGACAUCUCCAUUAACCAAAUCCAAACCUUGCCUUUUUCUGCCUUUUACCCAUGCUAAGAAACUGGGUUCGCCACCUGCUAUACUCCUAAAUUAUGGUCACUAUAACCCCAAGUUCCUACCACUAACAACCAACAAAUGCAAAAAAGAAAAAUUAUCAAGUCUUUUGGAUGCUUCAAAUAAGAAU